rnacentral:rRNA from 1 species
UGGCAGAUUAGUGUAAUGAAUUUAGAAUUCAUAUAUGUAAAUAUUUUACAAAUAAUAUAAUUUUUUAAAUUUUUAGUAUAUUUUAUAGAAAAAAUUUUAUUAAUUAUAGUUGAUUUGUAUUGUAAAAGAUAAUUUAAAUAAUUAUUUAAUUUUUAAUAAGUAAAGUUUAUUUUUUGUACCUUGUGUAUCAGGGUUUAUUAAAUAAAUAUUAAGUAAUUUAAUUUUCUCGAUUUUAAGAGAGCUAAUAAAUUAUUUUUUUUAUUGUUAAAUAAAUAUUUAUAAUAAUUUGUUAGUAAUGAAAUGUUAUUCGUUCUUAAAUAUAUCUAGUUUAUUUAGAAAUGAAUUUAAUUCAAAUAUUUAAAUUUUAAUAAAUUAAUUUAUUAAUUUAUUAUAUUUAAAUAUUAAUAAUUAAAGGGAUUAGCUUUUAAUUAAAAAUUUAUAAAUAAAGUAAAAUAAAUUAAAAAAUGUAAGUUUAGAAAUAUCUAUCAAUAGUAAUAUGUUAUAAUUAAUUUAAUAAUUUAUAUUAUUUUAUAUUAUUUUAAAUUUUUUAUAAAUAAAUAAUUUUAAAUUAUUUUAAAAUUAGGUAUAAUGAUAAAAUUAGUAUAUAUAAAAUAUUUAAAUAAUAAUGUUAUAAAGAUUAUUUAAAGGAAUUCGGCAAAAAUUUUACUCGCCUGUUUAACAAAAACAUGUCUUUUUGUAAUAUAUUUAAAGUCUAACCUGCCCACUGAAAAUUUUAAAUGGCCGCAGUAUUUUGACUGUGCAAAGGUAGCAUAAUCAUUAGUUUUUUAAUUAAAAGCUUGUAUGAAAGGUUGGACGAAGUAAAUUCUGUCUCUAUUUAAUUUACUAUAGAAUUUAAUUUUUAAGUUAAAAAGCUUAAAUUUAUAUAAAAGACGAGAAGACCCUAUAGAGCUUUAUAAUUUGUUUAAUAUUAUUAAUUAUGAUUUAUUAAGAUUUUAUUAUAAUUUAUUAUUUUAUUGGGGUAAUAGGAAGAUUAAUAAAAUUCUUUUUUAUUAUUAACAUUGAUUUAUGUUAUUAAUGAUCCAUUUUUAAUGAUUAUAAGAUUAAGUUACCUUAGGGAUAACAGCGUAAUUUUUUUAGAGAGUUCAUAUCGAUAAAAAAGUUUGCGACCUCGAUGUUGGAUUAAAGAUUAAUUUAGGUGUAGAAGUUUAAAUUUUUGGUCUGUUCGACCAUUAAAUCUUUACAUGAUCUGAGUUCAGACCGGUGUAAGCCAGGUCGGUUUCUAUCUUUAUUUAAUUAGAAUAUUUUAGUACGAAAGGACCAAAUAUUUAAUAUACUUAUAUUUUAAUUUUUGAAUGUUAAUAAAUUAUUUUGGCAGAUUAGUGUAAUGAAUUUAGAAUUCACA